AUACGUAGGGGGCAAGCGUUACCCGGAUUUACUGGGCGUAAAGAGCGUGUAGGCGGCUAGGAAAGUCCUGGGUGAAAGCUCCCGGCUCAACCGGGAGAGUGCCUGGGAAACCACGGUGCUGGAGUGCCGGAGAGGGAAGCGGAAUUCCUGGUGUAGCGGUGAAAUGCGUAGAUAUCAGGAGGAACACCCGAGGCGAAGGCGGCUUCCUGGACGGACACUGACGCCGAGGCGCGAAAGCUAGGGGAGCGAACAGGAUUAGAAACCCGAGUAGUCC
rnacentral:rRNA from 1 species